GGCUGUAGCUCAAGUGGCAGAGCACACGCUUAGCAUGCAUGAGGUGCUGGGUUCAAUCCCCAGAACCGCCA
rnacentral:tRNA from 1 species